rnacentral:rRNA from 1 species
GGAUGAAUAUUGGUCAAUGGACGAGAGUCUGAACCAGCCAAGUAGCGUGAAGGAUGACUGCCCUAUGGGUUGUAAACUUCUUUUAUACGGGAAUAAAGUUUGCCACGUGUGGCAUUUUGUAUGUACCGUAUGAAUAAGGAUCGGCUAACUCCGUGCCAGCAGCCGCGGUAAUACGGAGGAUCCGAGCGUUAUCCGGAUUUAUUGGGUUUAAAGGGAGCGUAGGCGGAAGCUUAAGUCAGUUGUGAAAGUUUGCGGCUUAACCGUAAAAUUGCAGUUGAUACUGGGUUUCUUGAGUGCAGCAGAGGUAGGCGGAAUUCGUGGUGUAGCGGUGAAAUGCUUAGAUAUCACGAAGAACUCCGAUUGCGAAGGCAGCUUACCGGUGCCGGACUGACGCUGAGGCACGAAAGCGUGGGGAUCAAACAGGAUUAGAUACCC